rnacentral:lncRNA from 1 species
GCAAGCAAGUCAAACAACUCUCGGCUAGGUUCGCCACCGUCGCAAGGUCGGUUCGCUGUCGUCGCAAGGUUGGGUUCGCGGUUCGUCGCAGCUUGUUUGGUUCACCAGAAUCACCACCGUCGCAUGCUUGCAGCAGUGCAGUUCCUCAAUUCGUUUGAUUCACCGGCGUGAGUAGCUGUUAUACUCUGUUUUAUGUGAUUUGUGCUAUGUGAUUUGUGAUAUUGAUUUGUGUUGUGUUAUACUGUUGUGAACACCACUGAUUUAUGUGAUUUGUGCUAUGUGAUUUGUGAUAUUGAUUUGUGUUGUGUUAUACACUUAUAUUGCCGUGAACACCACUAAUUUAUGCUUGAAAUGUUGUUGAUUGUUGGUGUUAAUAGAUUCGAAAUUGUAUAUUUCAAAUGUUAGAAAGCUGUUACAGUUAAAAAUAAAUUGUUGUUGUUAAUGGAUUUGUUGCUGUUAAUAGAUUCAAAAUUGUAUAAUUCAAAUGUUAGAAAGCUGUUACAGUUAAAAAUAAAUUGUUGUUGUUAAUGGAUUUGUUGCUGUUAAUAGAUUCGAAAAUGUAUUUUUGAAAUGUUAGAACUUAGAACAUUGUUACAGACUUACAGUAAAAAAAAUAAAUAUAAAAUGGAAGAAAUUGGAGGAAUGAUUGGUUAGUUUAAUUUGUUUUGACAUAAUUCUUGUAGGGUGUUAAAUUCAUAAUGGAAAAUGAACAAAG